rnacentral:tRNA from 2 species
GCAGUGGUGGUUCAGUGGUAGAAUUCUCACCUUCAAUGUGGGAGACCCAGGUUUGAUUCCUGACCAUGGCA